GUCUAUGUCCAUGCCAGCCUGAACAAGCCUGAUGUCUGAUCUUAAGCUAAGCAGGGUCAGGCCUAGUUAGUACUUGGAUGGGAAACCACCUAGGAAGACCAGGUGCUAUAGGCA
rnacentral:rRNA from 1 species